rnacentral:snRNA from 1 species
GUGCUUGUUUCUGCAGCACCUGUACUAAAUUUGGAACGAUACAGAGAUUAGCAUGGCUACUUUGCAUGACAUGCAAAUUCACGAAAUGUUUCAUAUUUUA